AGCGAACGCUGGCGGCAGGCCUAACACAUGCAAGUCGAACGAACUCUUCGGAGUUAGUGGCGGACGGGUGAGUAACACGUGGGAACGUGCCUUUUGGUUCGGAAUAACUCAGGGAAACUUGUGCUAAUACCGAAUGUGCCCUUCGGGGGAAAGAUUUAUCGCCAUUAGAGCGGCCCGCGUCUGAUUAGCUAGUUGGUGAGGUAACGGCUCACCAAGGCGACGAUCAGUAGCUGGUCUGAGAGGAUGACCAGCCACACUGGGACUGAGACACGGCCCAGACUCCUACGGGAGGCAGCAGUGGCGAAUCUUGCGCAACGGGCGAAAGCCUGACGCAGCCAUGCCGCGUGAAUGAUGAAGGUCUUAGGAUUGUAAAAUUCUUUCACCGGGGACGAUAAUGACGGUACCCGGAGAAGAAGCCCCGGCUAACUUCGUG
rnacentral:rRNA from 1 species